rnacentral:rRNA from 1 species
GAAUCAACGCUGGCGGCGUGCCUAAUACAUGCAAGUCGAACGCGAAAGUCCCGCAAGGGGCAAGUAGAGUGGCAAACGGGUGAGUAACGCGUGGGCGACCUACCUUCGAGUGGGGGAUAACCUUCCGAAAGGAGGGCUAAUACCGCAUGACAGCCUCUGUUUGGAUACAGGGGACUCAAAGCCGGGGAUCGCAAGACCUGGCGCUUGGAGAGGGGCCCGCGUCCGAUUAGCUAGUUGGUGGGGUAACGGCUCACCAAGGCUUCGAUCGGUAUCCGGCCUGAGAGGGCGGACGGACACACUGGGACUGAGACACGGCCCAGACUCCUACGGGAGGCAGCAGUAGGGAAUUGUUCGCAAUGGGCGCAAGCCUGACGACGCAACGCCGCGUGGAGGAUGAAGACCUUCGGGUCGUAAACUCCUUUCGACCGAGAUGAAUUCUCGCCGGCCUAAUACGCCGGCGGGGUGACAGUAUCGAGGGAAGCAGCCCCGGCUAACUCCGUGCCAGCAGCCGCGGUAAUACGGGGGGGGCAAGCGUUGUUCGGAAUUACUGGGCGUAAAGGGUUCGUAGGUGGCCAACUAAGUCAGACGUGAAAUCCCUCAGCUUAACUGGGGAACUGCGUCUGAUACUGGUUGGCUUGAGUGCAGGAGAGGAACGCGGAAUUCCAGGUGUAGCGGUGAAAUGCGUAGAUAUCUGGAGGAACACCGGUGGCGAAGGCGGCGUUCUGGACUGCAACUGACACUGAGGAACGAAAGCCAGGGGAGCAAACGGGAUUAGAUACCCCGGUAGUCCUGGCCCUAAACGAUGAAUGCUUGGUGUGGCGGGUAUCGAUCCCUGCCGUGCCGUAGUUAACGCGUUAAGCAUUCCGCCUGGGGAGUACGGUCGCAAGGC